UGAUACUAAGCCAUGCGAGUCAUUGUAGCAAUACAAGGCAUACGGCUCAGUAACGCGUAGUCAACCUAACCUAUGGACGGGAAUAACCUCGGGAAACUGAGAAUAAUGCCCGAUAGAACAUUAUGCCUGGAAUGGUUUAUGUUCCAAAUGAUUUAUCGCCGUAGGAUGGGACUGCGGCCUAUCAGUUUGUUGGUGAGGUAAUGGCCCACCAAGACUAUUACAGGUACGGGCUCUGAGAGGAGUAGCCCGGAGAUGGGUACUGAGACACGGACCCAGGCCCUAUGGAGCGCAGCAGGCGAGAAAACUUUGCAAUGUGCGAAAGCACGACAAGGUUAAUCCGAGUGGUUUCUGCUAAAGGAACCUUUUGUCAGUCCUAGAAACACUGAUGAAUAAGGGGUGGGCAAGUUCUGGUGUCAGCCGCCGCGGUAAAACCAGCACCUCAAGUGGUCAGGAUGAUUAUUGGGCCUAAAGCAUCCGUAGCCGGCUCUGUAAGUUUUCGGUUAAAUCUGUACGCUCAACGUACAGGCUGCCGGGAAUACUGCAAAGCUAGGGAGUGGGAGAGGUAGACGGUACUCGGUAGGAAGGGGUAAAAUCCUUUGAUCUAUUGAUGACCACCUGUGGCGAAGGCGGUCUACCAGAACACGUCCGACGGUGAGGGAUGAAAGCUGGGGGAGCAAACCGGAUUAGAUACCCGGGUAGUCCCAGCUGUAAACCAUGCAAACUCAGUGAUGCAUUGGCUUGUGGCCAAUGCAGUGCUGCAGGGAAGCCGUUAAGUUUGCCGCCUGGGAAGUACGUACGCAAGUAUGAAACUUAAAGGAAUUGGCGGGGGAGCACCACAAGGGGUGAAGCCUGCGGUUCAAUUGG
rnacentral:rRNA from 1 species